GACGAACCGUGCGAACGUUGUUCGGAAUCACUGGGCUUAAAGGGCGCGUAGGCGGGCGGGCAAGCCCGGGGUGAAAUCUUUCGGCUCAACCGGAAAAGUGCCUCGGGGACUGCUUGUCUGGAGUGAGGUAGGGGCCGCGGGAACUUCCGGUGGAGCGGUGAAAUGCGUUGAUAUCGGAAGGAACGCCGGUGGCGAAAGCGCGCGGCUGGCCCUCAACUGACGCUGAGGCGCGAAAGCUAGGGGAGCGAACGGG
rnacentral:rRNA from 1 species